AGUGAACGCUGGCGGCGUGCCUCAAACAUGCAAGUCGAGCGGGGCUAUGUAAUAUCGCAAGGUAGAACAUAGCCUAGCGGCGAACGGGUGAGUAACACGUGGGUAACCUGCCUGGAAGACAGGGAUAACGAUUCGAAAGGGUCGCUAAUACCUGAUAAUAUCCUUUCAUCGCAUGGUGAUAGGAAGAAAGGGGAAACCCGCUUUCAGAUGGGCCCGCGUCCCAUCAGCUAGUUGGUAAGGUAAAGGCUUACCAAGGCGACGACGGGUAGCCGGUCUGAGAGGAUGUACGGCCACACUGGGACUGAGAUACGGCCCAGACUCCUACGGGAGGCAGCAGUUGGGAAUCUUAGGCAAUGGACGAAAGUCUGACCUAGCGACGCCGCGUGAGGGAAGAAGGCCUUCGGGUUGUAAACCUCUGUCAUGGGGGAAGAAGUAAGUGACGGUACCCCAAGAGGAAGCCCCUGCUAACUACGUG
rnacentral:rRNA from 1 species